AGGGUUUGAUUCUGGCUCAGGACGAACGCUGGCGGCGUGCCUAACACAUGCAAGUCGAACGAAGCUCCGACACUUGAGUUUUCGGACAAGAGUGAAGGAUGACUUAGUGGCGAACGGGUGAGUAAUGCGUGAGCAACCUGCCUUUCAGAGGGGGACAACAGCUGGAAACGGCUGCUAAUACCGCAUAACACAUCGGGGUGGCAUCACCCUGAUGUCAAAGGAGCAAUCCGCUGAGAGAUGGGCUCACGUCUGAUUAGCUAGAUGGUGGGGUAACGGCCCACCAUGGCGACGAUCAGUAGCCGGUCUGAGAGGAUGAACGGCCACAUUGGGACUGAGAUACGGCCCAG
rnacentral:rRNA from 1 species